rnacentral:rRNA from 1 species
UGGGGAAUAUUCACAAUGGGCGCAAGCCUGAUGCAGCCAUGCCGCGUGUAUGAAGAAAGGUCCUUCGGGUUAGUAAAGUACUUUCAGCGGGGAGGAAGGCGAUAAGGUUAAUAACCUUGUCGAUUGACGUUACCCGCAGAAGAAGGCACCGGCUAACUCCGUGCCAGCAGCCGCGGUAAUACGGAGGGUGCAAGCGUUAAUCGGAAUUACUGGGCGUAAAGCGCACGCAGGCGGUCUGUCAAGUCGGAUGUGAAAUCCCCGGGCUCAACCUGGGAACUGCAUUCGAAACUGGCAGGCUGGAGUCUUGUAGAGGGGGUAGAAUUCCAGGUGUAGCGGUGAAAUUGCGUAGAGAUCUGGAGGAAUACCGGUGGCGAAGGCGGCCCCC